rnacentral:tRNA from 1 species
GCGUGGCUUAGUGGUUUAGGUAUUCGGCUCGUGAUCGGAAGGUUCUGAGUUCAAUUCCCAGCGC